AUAUAUAUAUAUAUAUACUGAUUUUGUGUUUGAGUUAGUGUGUUCUGUAUUUCUGUCGUGAUGAAUGCCUCUUUUAUUUGCCAAGCUCCUGAGCUCCUUUACAGGUAUCCUGUUGCGAAACUUAUGGUUGACAUAUGCAUUUCAAGGUUUUAUCUUCUAUGGCUAUAUUAUGUAUCUUCUAGCACACAACCAUUUGUAAACUGAUUGUUUCUUGUAUGAAUGUUAGGAUCUGGAAACUAUAGAUAGAAGAUGCUCAAGUAGUCAGUUGCAUACAUUUCUUUGUCCCCUCACGUGACAUGCAUUUGCGACAGAGGUAUGAGUACAGAUUCUUCCUCAGCUCCAUGGAUGUGGAAGAGCUUUCAGGGAUGCAUGCCACCAUGGGGUUUGUGCUUGGACCGGCAAGAUGGGAUUUGCUGUCAUAUGGCCAUGGCUUGUGGGGACAAGUAGUGUGUGAGGUGCCCUUGGAGGGACAUGGUUCAAGCAAACGAACUGGGUGUUUCAUUUAAAUCUGUAUAGAGCAAUCCAUUAUAGGAAUGUGUGCAUAAUCAAAAGAAAGAAGUUUAAAGGACACUUUAGUUAACCAGGUCUUUGUUUUAGUUUCUUAUUCUCAGGCAUAAAUCACACUUGUUUUUCUUUGUUUCUUGCGGUCUCAAAACUGUUAUCUUUAUUGGAGUCACAAAUCAAAAAUUUGUCAUUGCACUAAGUGCAUCUUUAAUUAUUUGUAUAUCAGAAAUUUAAUAUGCUAUCAUAUUAUCUGGUCGAAGUAUAAAUUGCAUAUGAUAAUCUUUUAAGUUUUUUUUGAAAAUUGUUUAUAUGUUCACUUUUAAAGAUCAUAGAUAAAACUGAUGGCUUUUGAUGACGCCUUGAAAAUUUUGAUUGACAAAGCUUUAUGAUGGAUUGGAUUAAAAACUCAUCGAGUUUUAACAAUCAGAAGUGUUGCAUAGAAAUAAUUGUUUUAUAUAUAUUUGUUGCGCAUGAUAAUACAAAAGGUGUGUUUCGAUAUAUUUGCAGAGUAUGCAAGAUGGAGAUGGAUUAUGUCAACCCUAAAAAACGACUCAUCGACAAGGUGUUGAGGUGAUGUUGUUGAAAGGGGUCAAACAUUCGUCAAGUUAUAUACAACAAAAGGCCCGUGGCAACGCACGGGCCUUGCAAAAAUAACCGAAGAUCCCGUCAGUUAGUUCAAGCAGCAUGAUUGUUUCUUACUCAUGGUCUGUAAAUUGUGGGACUAUUGUUUAUUUCUGUGACGCAGCAAAAUGCAAUUGGAAUGUGAGUCUAGACAAGGGAGUUAUUGCCUUGAAAGACUAUCAUUUUUUUCUUAUCUGCGGGUGAGGAAGUUCGAGAAGAACAAGAAGAUGUCAGAGUUUACGACGCAGUUGGACUCCAUUGGGUUUAAGAUAGCCGAGAUCACUGUGGAUGGCAACUAAAUAGCUAUUUGGAAGAGCUCAGGGGCGAGGAUGCUAGAGAGAGAUCUGAUGCAGCAAGAGACUCCUUUGUGGCCGACUUGCUUUAGAUGUUGAGAAGAAUGCCAACAAAGGGUCUGACAAAAAACAAAUCCCAUGAGAUAUCAUAGGACGACAAGAAUGUUGGAUUCUCGGAGAUCUAAGGAUCUCAUAACUUGUUCGCCUGCUUCUUUUUUGAGUUUUCAGUUAUCCUUUAUUUCCUUGCUUAUGUCAUCUCUUUGAUAUUUGUCUCUUUCUAAAAUGAGAAACAAGGGCUUUAUGUCCUUUUCCUUUUCCAUUAAUGGAUUUCACACAACAAUAAUAGGAAAUAGUUUCAGUGUUCUCAACUCUUUGUUGUUGCUUUUCAGAGAGUAUUUUCCUCGGAUGGGUAUUAUCUGACCCAUGUUUUCUUUGUCAAUGAAAAAUCGCGUGUGUUCUCAUACUUUCACAUGAAAUCUUGAAGGAAAGUAGACCCAAGGCUAUGUGGAUGGCAGCGGUUGCUCGGAGAAGAGAAUAAGCAGGGGUGCGAGGGAGUGAUGUGGACUGCGGAACGGAAGGAAGGGGAGGGAAGCUGCGUCCCUGAACUAUGCCCAUAGCUUUACAUCAAACUUCAUUGCAACUCUUGUUAGAUCCUAGCGGAUUAGUAUGAUUUUGGGUGCUGAAAGAAGCUGGCACUAUCAUGGACAUGUUUGUCUCGGGGCCCCUUCAGGAAUUUGCAGUUACCCCAUUAAUGAGUUUUAGUUAAUUUAUAUUCUAGGUUUCAUUGUGCCCCAGUUUCCUCUUGGGACGUUGGCCCUGAGGUGCGAACUCCAUCAUCCAUGUCAAUAUAAGGAUUG